AAAAUUUUGCAGGAAGAUCAAAAGGAAGGUAUGGGCGCAUUCGUUGAGAAGAGAAAGCCGAAUUUCAAGAACAACUAAAUAAAGAAAUCUUCUAAAAAGGGACCAACGUGUUCAUAAUAAACUAGCCAACUAAGACUGAGAAAGGAAUGAGGUUUGUGUUCUGGGGUUGAAGUAUAUAAUAGUCUAAAAUCAGUUAUAUGAAUGCGAUCUGAGAAUAUAGUUAGAAUGUUUAUUUGAUGAAUAAAUAAUAUAUUUUGAUUAAAA